rnacentral:rRNA from 1 species
GCAAAGGUAGCGUAAUCAGUUGACUUUUAAUUGAAGUCGAGAAUGAAAGAAUAAAUGGAGAUUAGCUGUCUCUUAUUUAGUUUUUUGAAUUUACUAAUGGGGUGAAAAUUCCCUUAUUUUAGAAAAAAGACGAGAAGACCCUGAGAGUUUUAAAUAUAAAUACUUUUUGUAUUAUCUUUUUUGUUGGGGCGACAGAAGGACAGGUAUAAUAUUAACUCCUUUUAAAGUAAAGUAUAGUUUGACGAUUUUUUUAAGAGAAAUUAAACUACCUUAGGGAUAACAGCAUAAUGUUUUAUUAGG